CCUACGGGGGGCUGCAGUGGGGAAUAUUGGACAAUGGGGGCAACCCUGAUCCAGCCAUGCCGCGUGUGUGAAGAAGGCCCUCGGGUUGUAAAGCACUUUCAGUGAGGAAGAACGCCUGGUGGUUAAUACCCAUCAGGAAAGACAUCACUCACAGAAGAAGCACCGGCUAACUCCGUGCCAGCAGCCGCGGUAAUACGGAGGGUGCGAGCGUUAAUCGGAUUUACUGGGCGUAAAGCGAGCGUAGGUGGCUUGAUAAGCCGGUUGUGAAAGCCCCGGGCUCAACCUGGGAACGGCAUCCGGAACUGUCAAGCUAGAGUGCAGGAGAGGAAGGUAGAAUUCCCGGUGUAGCGGUGAAAUGCGUAGAGAUCGGGAGGAAUACCAGUGGCGAAGGCGGCCUUCUGGACUGACACUGACGCUGAGGUGCGAAAGCGUGGGUAGCAAACAGGAUUAGAUACCCUUGUAGUC
rnacentral:rRNA from 1 species